CGAGCACACAAGCCCCAGCCGACUGAGGCUGUGCUCCUCCCAGCCAGGAAUGGGCCCGCCUCCUCACAACAGGCUUUCCAGGCAGGUGAGUCUGCCCACACCUGCUUGCUUACCUGGGAGCGGCAGCUAGAAGGCACAUCUCCCCACCCCAACUCAUUCUGUGUAACCAGGCUCCGGCUGACCAAGGGAGGGAGAAACUUCCAGAGGUCUGCAGGGCCACUGGACCUUUUGGCAUUUUUUUUCCUAAACAGAGUGGGGAGCCUAAAUUUCAGAGCUUGGAGCCUAGGCUGCUUAAGGCUAUUCCAUGUUUUGGACUGAGAGCUCACCUCUAAGGUCUCGAAGGAAAACACAUUUGCUUAAGAUUGGUCAUGGCACAGAUAUCGACACUAUGCCUCCCCUCCAAAGCCGGCAGACCCCACCACGCCUCAGCACAAACCCCAGUUCCAUCCCACGCCCAGCCGGAGAGGAUCAGAGACGAAGAUUUAGCACGCUACAACCAGCUCCCAGGUUCUCACUGGUGCAGCAGCCGGCCAGGACGCCUUUCUUUAGAGGACGCGGAUAUCCAUCCGCAGGACAGCAUGGCCUCCAAAGUGGAGCCGGCGACGGGGAGAGAGGCUGCAGACCCAGAAGAAGGAGAGCCAGAAAGUGAGGAAGUGGGGGCUGGUGGGAGGAAGAGCGGGGGACCAGUGGUCGCAGAGUCAGUGCCGGUUUGUCACUCCUCUGGCUGGGACAGGCGGGCAUCCCUGCUGGCUGGAGCGGAGUGGUGAGCACCUGUGCACGCCCCGCCCCGCUGGCCCUGGGCACGGUGGGUGUUUAGAAAGUGCACACUGGGGCUGGUGGUUAUGUUGAUAAGACGACGGCACAGCACUCAGUCUGCAAAGUCCAGACUUCUGUCUCUCCCACCCCCUGGGAAUUUCAUAAAUAAACCCCUGGACCUGUUCCAAGAAGAA